UACAGAGGUCUCAAGCGUUGUUCGGAUUCAUUGGGCGUAAAGGGUGCGUAGGCGGCGCGGUAAGUCGGGUGUGAAAUCUCGGAGCUUAACUCCGAAACUGCAUUCGAUACUGCCGUGCUCGAGGACUGGAGAGGAGACUGGAAUUUACGGUGUAGCGGUGAAAUGCGUAGAUAUCUGGAGGAACACCGGUGGCGAAGGCGGCAUCCUGGACCAACACUGACACUGAGGAGCGAAAGCCAGGGGAGCAAACGGG
rnacentral:rRNA from 1 species